rnacentral:misc_RNA from 1 species
GAGAGAGAGAAGAGACAGAGAGAGAUGGAGAUCGGCUUCUUGGGCCUCGGCAUCAUGGGGAAGGCGAUGGCCGUCAACCUCCUCCGCAGCGGCCACCGCGUUACCGUCUGGAAUCGAACUCUUUCUAAGUGCAAUGAACUACUGGAACAAGGUGCUUCUGUUGGAGAAACGCCAGCAGCUGUAAUUGAGAAAUGCAAGUAUACUAUAGCAAUGCUUUCUGAUCCCAGUGCUGCUCUUUCGGUAGUUUUUGACAAAGAUGGGGUACUUGAGAAAAUGUGCAGUGGAAAAGGCUACAUUGACAUGUCAACAGUUGAUGCAGAUACUUCAUCUAAAAUCAGUGAGGCAAUAACAAAGAAGGGUGGGCAAUUCCUUGAAGCUCCGGUAUCAGGCAGCAAAAAGCCUGCUGAAGAUGGUCAGCUAGUUAUUCUUGCUGCAGGGGAGAAGUCACUGUAUGAAGAAGUAAUUCCUGCCUUCAACGUAUUAGGAAAGAAGUCUUUCUUUUUGGGGAAAGUGGGAAAUGGAGCAAAUAUGAAGCUCGUAGUCAACAUGAUAAUGGGCAGUAU